rnacentral:rRNA from 1 species
UACGUAGGGGGCAAGCGUUGUCCGGAAUUAUUGGGCGUAAAGGGCGUGUAGGCGGUAUAAUAAGUCAGAUGUGAAAGUUCGGGGCUUAACCCCGGAAUUGCAUUUGAAACUGUAAUACUUGAGUACUGGAGAGGUAAGUGGAAUUCCUAGUGUAGCGGUGAAAUGCGUAGAUAUUAGGAGGAACACCAGUGGCGAAGGCGACUUACUGGACAGAUACUGACGCUGAGGCGCGAAAGCGUGGGGAGCAAAC